rnacentral:sRNA from 1 species
CCUGCAAGUUUGCAACAAACAAUUGCCGCAAGCUUGCGGCAAAUCUAAUUUGCAUAAUUAUGUUUGCCGUAAGCUUGCCGCAAACUUCAUUUGCAUGGUAAAAGGGUUGCGGCAAGCUUGCGUCAAUGUUUGCUGCAAACUUGCAGC